rnacentral:rRNA from 1 species
GACGAGGGGUCCUAGCGUUGUUCGGAAUCACUGGGCGUAAAGAGUUCGUAGGCGGCUCCGUAAGUCGGGUGUGAAAUCCCACGGCUCAACCGUGGAAGUGCAUUCGAAACUGCGGAGCUUGAAUAUGGAAGAGGGUAGUAGAAUUCCUGGUGUAGUGGUGAAAUACGUAGAUAUCAGGAGGAAUACCGGUGGCGAAGGCGGCUACCUGGUCCAAUAUUGACGCUGAGGAACGAAAGUGCGGGGAUCAAACAGG